rnacentral:rRNA from 1 species
AGCGAACGCUGGCGGCAGGCUUAACACAUGCAAGUCGAGCGGGCGUAGCAAUACGUCAGCGGCAGACGGGUGAGUAACGCGUGGGAACAUACCUUUUGGUUCGGAACAACACAGGGAAACUUGUGCUAAUACCGGAUAAGCCCUUACGGGGAAAGAUUUAUCGCCGAAAGAUUGGCCCGCGUCUGAUUAGCUAGUUGGUGAGGUAACGGCUCACCAAGGCGACGAUCAGUAGCNGGUCUGAGAGGAUGAUCAGCCACAUUGGGACUGAGACACGGCCCAAACUCCUACGGGAGGCAGCAGUGGGGAAUAUUGGGCAAUGGGCGAAAGCCUGACCCAGCAACGCCGCGUGAGGGAGGAAAUCCUUCGGGAUGUAAACCUCACAAGCAAGGGAAGAGCGCAUGAAGGAGAAUACCCUUCAUGCCCCGACGGUACCUUGCGUAAGCCACGGCUAACUACGUGCCAGC